rnacentral:rRNA from 1 species
UACGUAGGGUGCAAGCGUUGUCCGGAAUUAUUGGGCGUAAAGAGCUCGUAGCGGUUUGUCGCGUCUGCUGUGAAAACCCGAGGCUCAACCUCGGGCCUGCAGUGGGUACGGGCAGACUAGAGUGGCGGUAGGGGAGAUUGGAAUUCCUGGUGUAGCGGUGGAAUGCGCAGAUAUCAGGAGGAACACCAAGUGGCGAAGGCAGAUCUCUGGGCCGUAACUGACGCUGAGGAGCGAAGCAUGGGGAGCGAACAGG